CGUGUAGGCGGUUGGUCAAGUCGGGUGUGAAAGCCCGGGGCUCAGCCUCGGAAGUGCAUCCGAAACUAGCCAGCUAGAGCGCGAUAGAGGAGGGUGGAAUUCCUGGUGUAGCGGUGAAAUGCGUAGAUAUCAGGAGGAACACCGGCGGCGAAGGCGGCCCUCUGGGUCGUUGCUGACGCUGAGACGCGAAAGCGUGGGGAGCAAACAGGAUUAGACACCCUGGUAGUCCACGCUAUAAACGAUGGGUACUAGGUGUUCGGGGUGUUGACCCCCUGAGUGCCGCAGCUAACGCAUUAAGUACCCCGCCUGGGGACUACGGCCGCAAGGUUAA
rnacentral:rRNA from 1 species